rnacentral:piRNA from 1 species
UGAUGACCCUGAAGAGCCUCGGCUGAUGGA